rnacentral:rRNA from 1 species
UAAUUGAUUAUGACGUACUUGUACUGAUUGAGAUUUUAACACGAAGUGAGUGGCGAACGGGUGAGUAACACGUGGGUAACCUGCCCAGAAGUAGGGGAUAACACCUGGAAACAGAUGCUAAUACCGUAUAACAGAGAAAACCGCAUGGUUUUCUUUUAAAAGAUGGCUCUGCUAUCACUUCUGGAUGGACCCGCGGCGUAUUAGCUAGUUGGUGAGGUAAAGGCUCACCAAGGCAGUGAUACGUAGCCGACCUGAGAGGGUAAUCGGCCACAUUGGGACUGAGACACGGCCCAGACUCCUACGGGAGGCAGCAGUAGGGAAUCUUCCACAAUGGACGCAAGUCUGAUGGAGCAACGCCGCGUGAGUGAAGAAGGGUUUCGGCUCGUAAAGCUCUGUUGUUAAAGAAGAACGUGGGUAAGAGUAACUGUUUACCCAGUGACGGUAUUUAACCAGAAAGCCACGGCUAACUACGUGCCAGCAGCCGCGGUAAUACGUAGGUGGCAAGCGUUAUCCGGAUUUAUUGGGCGUAAAGCGAGCGCAGGCGGUCUUUUAAGUCUAAUGUGAAAGCCUUCGGCUCAACCGAAGAAGUGCAUUGGAAACUGGGAGACUUGAGUGCAGAAGAGGACAGUGGAACUCCAUGUGGUA